rnacentral:rRNA from 1 species
GACAGAGGGUGCAAACGUUGUUCGGAAUUACUGGGCGUAAAGCGCGUGUAGGCGGCUAAGUAAGUCGGGCGUGAAAUCCCACGGCUCAACCGUGGAAGUGCACUCGAAACUGCAUAGCUAGAGUCCUGGAGAGGAAGGUGGAAUGCUUGGUGUAGAGGUGAAAUUCGUAGAUAUCAAGCGGAACACCGGUGGCGAAGGCGGCCUUCUGGACAGUGACUGACGCUGAGACGGCGAAAAGCGUGGGGAGCAAACA